AACGAACGCUGGCGGCAUGCCUAACACAUGCAAGUCGAACGAAACCUUCGGGUCUAGUGGCGCACGGGUGCGUAACGCGUGGGAACCUGCCCUUAGGUUCGGAAUAACUCCCCGAAAGGGGUGCUAAUACCGGAUAAUGUCUUCGGACCAAAGAUUUAUCGCCUUUGGAUGGGCCCGCGUUGGAUUAGCUAGUUGGUAGGGUAAAAGCCUACCAAGGCGACGAUUCAUAGCUGGUCUGAGAGGAUGAUUAGCCACACUGGGACUGAGACACGGCCCAGACUCCUACGGGAGGCAGCAGUGGGGAAUAUUGGAAAAUGGGCGAAAGCCUGAUCCAGCAAUGCCGCGUGAGUGAUGAAGGCCUUAGGGUUGUAAAGCUCUUUUACCCGGGAUGAUAAUGACAGUACCGGGAGAAUAAGCUCCGGCUAACUCCGUG
rnacentral:rRNA from 1 species